rnacentral:rRNA from 1 species
AUUGAACGCUGGCGGCAGGCUUAACACAUGCAAGUCGAACGGAACCUUCGGGUUUAGUGGCGAACGGGUGAGUAAUACCUAGGAAUCUGCCUAUUAGUGGGGGAUAACGGCUCGAAAGGGUCGCUAAUACCGCAUACGUCCUACGGGAGAAAGAGGGGGAUCUUCGGACCUCUUGCUAAUAGAUGAGCCUAGGCCGGAUUAGCUAGUUGGUAGGGUAAAGGCCUACCAAGGCGACGAUCCGUAGCUGGUCUGAGAGGAUGAUCAGCCACACUGGAACUGAGACACGGUCCAGACUCCUACGGGUGGCUGCAGUCGAGAAUCUUCGGCAAUGGGGGAAACCCUGACCGAGCGACGCCGCGUGCGGGAUGAAGGCCCUCGGGUUGUAAACCGCUGUCGUAAGGGAACAAAUCUAAGAGGGUACUCCCUUUUAGUUGAGUGAUCUUAGGAGGAAGGACGGGCUAAGUUCGUGCCAGCAGCCGCGGUAAAGUACAGUGU